CAGCCACUGAAGGGAAAGCAUCUCUUGGACUUAUGCUACUUCCUGAGAGGAAGUGCUGCAUAGCUAGAGAGCUCCUUCAUCGGCUCAUUACAGCCUGAUUCAUUCGAUUUGAUUGCUGCUGUAAUGUGCACCGUGUGUUGCCUUUGCUUGGGGUGCCAGUUGCUUUAGCGAGAUUAAGAUCCCAGGAAGAUGCUCAAUGCUACUGCAAGGCUAAGAGAUCAUGUGUGGGCACCAGAGAGCAUAGAAUCCAUGGCAGAUUUAGGAGAAAGCUGGAGGACACUCAACCUUAAACCUGAAUUAACAUCACAUUCUCUACUUCAAAGUGAAGAAAAAGAUCUUCAAAUGAAGAAAGAAAUGCAUUCAGAACCUUCAAUUUCAUGAUAGCAAGAAAAAAUGGAAAACUCAUUGUGACCUUACUUAUUCUUUGUGACUUUAUGACUUACAAAAUAUUAAAAUUCUAUCAGUUUAUUGCUUGGAAUAUUAGAAGCCAGUUCUUUGGCUUGGCAUAAGCAGUACGUGUUCUCAAGGAGCACACUUGCUUGUGGAGAAUGCACAUUUGUUACUUGAUCUGCUCAGGCCCUUUGUUUUUUACCUCCUCUCUCCUUUCAGCAGUUGCAAAAUACAUUUGGGAAUAAGUAUGUUUCUCACAAGCCACAUGGUAUGCCCCGUAUUUUUGGCAGAAUACCUGCUGUGCACUUAAUCACUGUGAAAUCUCCCUUGGCCCUUAUUCUGCUCCAUGAACAG